CAAAAAAACCCUAAUCAUUCUAAUCCCUCAUUUUCACACCGUCGUCCCAAACUGAGUACACCAUACAUUCAGAGCCCUAAAAACUAAAGCCGACACGGAUCAUCAUCCAACCAUUCCCGAUCUUCAAUUUCUCCAAGAUACAAACGCUAGCUUCCGUUUGAUUUCCAAAUCGCCUCUUUCACGUCUUCCUGUUCUUUCUGAUUCAUCUUCUACAAUGGAGUUCGAAUCCAUCUAAACGUAAUCAUCCAAUUUUCUAGAUCAUAUUUUUGUUGUUUUGGCUUCAAUUAAUCAAGUCAAUGAAGUCGAUGAAAUGAAACGAAGAGUGGAUUUAGGCGAGCAAUUCAGUUAUUCGAGGAGGAAACGAAGAGGAUUCUUGAAACAUAUUCUUACCACAUAUGUGUUGCCUAAUCUUGAGAUCUAAGGAUUGAAUAUCCAAUUUGGAAUUUGAUGAAUAAGGAUAAGGUGGAAUUAGUGGUCUCGUGCUUAGCUUCUUCUGAGGUUUAUCAUCGUGAACUCAUGGCUUACAAGAACCAAUCAUGAUGGUGAAAGCUAACGGCUUCUUCGUUUCUAUGUUAACGUCGGUUGUAAAUGGGCUGGUAGUUUGUAAUCAAGUCAUAAACAUGAUGUAUGCUUGUGAUUUAGGGCGAUUGUAUCUCCUUUGGCAUUACUGUUGAAGAUGAUUGCACCUUCGUUUUGACAACUCAGGCAUCUACUAAGGGAAUUGUGACAUUCGACUCGACCAUCCAUUUUUAUAAUCUGAAACGUGCAUUCCAGCAGCCUUUGAUGCUCAUAGUUCCCGACGUACAAGAUGUUUACACUCCACUUCAAACCGAUUUUAUUGUUCAGAUUUCCGAGGGUUUGUCAUACAACUUCUUGGAAACAUAUAUAUACUUUUACUUUACUCCAUAAUACUCUCACAUCGAUUUGUAUUAGUUUCCUUCACAAGUUUACAACUUAAUCGUGGUGAUCCAUGGAGUGUGCAUAGAAUAUGAACCGCAUUAAAGACGACCGUAGAUGUGGAUGUGUAGUGUUUUGUGUCCACAACUUAUGAUGGUUUUGGUGGCGUUGAUUGCUGGUGAUUGCAGCGGCAGAGAUGGUUGGUGUGGUUGCGGCGGAGAACAGAUGGGCUGGUAGUUUGUAAUCAAGUCAUAAACAUGAUGUAUGCUUGUGAUUUAGGGCGAUUGUAUCUCCUUUGACAUUACUGUUGAAGAUGAUUGCACCGUUGUUUUGACAACUCAGGCAUCUACUAAGGGAAUUGUGGCUACGGUGGUGGCGGAUUAGUGAUGGUUUGACAGUGGCUGCGGUGGUAGCGAUGGCUGUGGUGGUGGCAAUGUGGUUGACGGUGGUUGCGGUGGUGGCGAUGGUUGACGGUGGUGGUGUUGGUUGACGGUGGUGGUGUUGGUUGACGGUGGUGGCGUUGGUUGACGGUAGCUAAGGUGGUGGCUUCGGCUGAUGAUGGUUGUCGUAGAGUAGAUGGUUGGUGCUGGGUACGUUGUUGGGGAUGGUUCGGGUGGUGACGAGUGUGGGCAGUCAUAAGCAAUUGGGGUAACACAUGAAAGAAAAAGAUGAACGACAAGCUGUACCACCAAUACAGGCUGACAGAUGGCAAUCGAAGUUGGGUUCAGUGGCUCUACGAUUCGGGAUAAUUGGUAACUUGUGUCUAGCAUUUUUGUUCUUCCCAGUGACUCGAGGAUCGGUUAUAUUGUCACUGUUCGGGCUAACUUCUAAGGCCUGCAUCAAGUAUCACAUAUGGCUAGGCCAUAUUGUUAUGACCCUCUUCACUUCUCAUGGUGUUUGUUACAUUAUUUAUUGGAUAGUCACCAAGCAGACAUCAGAGGUUGUAAAUGGGCUGGUAGUUUGUAAUCAAGUCAUAAACAUGAUGUAUGCUUGUGAUUUAGGGCGAUUGUAUCUCCUUUGACAUUACUGUUGAAGAUGAUUGCAUUGCUGUUUUGACAACUCAGGCAUCUACUAAGGGAAUUGUGACAUUCGACUCGACCAUCCAUUUUUAUAAUCUGAACCGUGCAUUAGAGCAGCCUCUGAUGCUCAUAGUUCCCGACGUACAAGAUGUUUGCAGUCCACUUCAAAUCGAUUUUAUUGUUCAGCUUUCCGAGGGUUUGUCAUACAACUUCUUGGAAACAUAUAUAUACUUUUACUUUUACUGCAUAAUACUCUCACAUCGAUUUGUAUUUGUUUCCUUCACAAGUUUACAACUUAAUCGUGGUGAUCCAUGGAGUGUGCACAAAAUAUGAACCGCACUAAAGACGACCGUAGAUGUGGAUGUGUAGUGUUUUGUGUCCACAACUUAUGAUGGUUUCGGUGGUGUUGAUUGCUGGUGAUUGCGGCGGCAGAGAUGGUUGGUGUGGUUGUGGCGGAGAUGGUUGAUGGUGGCUACGGUGGUGGCGGAUUAGCGAUGGUUUGACGGUGGCUGCGGUGGUAGUGAUAGCUGUGGUGGUGGCGAUGUGGUUGACGGUGGCUGCGGUGGUGGCGAUGGUUGACGGUGGUGGCGUUGGUUGACGGUGGCUGUGGUGGUGGCAUUAGUUGACGGUGGUGGCGUUGGUUGACGGUAGCUAAGGUGGUGGCUUCGGUUGAUGGUGGUUGUCGCAGAGUCGAUGGUUGGUGCUGGGUACGUUGUUGGGGAUGGUUCGGGUGGUGACGAGUGUGGGCAGUCAUAAGCAAUUGGGGUAACACAUGAAAGGUCUUUCCCAAUCUGUGUGACGUAUUUCUCAGCCCAAGUCAGAUUCAGUCUCUUCACUUAAGCACACUACAAAUAAAACCAACACUCCCACAAUAGGCUAAUGGAUAUUAAAGAAUGAUGUGGCUCUUUUUAAUCAAACCCAAUAACUAAUGCUAUAGUUUUUUCUUGAAAACAUGUAGCAAAAGAUGAACAACAAGCUGUACCACUAAUACAGGUACGCGUUAUACAUAAAUGGAAUCUAGCUUUUAGAGACGCCGAGACAUGCUACGUGUUGGUCGACUGAUAUAUAACCUUAUUUGCCCCAAAUAUUUACACUGCAUUCAUUAUAUAAUUACAUCCACCAAAUUAGAAACAUAAGUGUAUGAAAACACAAAUUAAUUGGGAAGUUACUCAUGAUUUAAUGGUAAGGAAUGAUCAUUUUGGUGGAUGGGAAAAAGGUCAAAGCUGCAUCAAUUACUUUUGAGGUCCAUUAAAAUAGAACUGAUGGUUAAAUUAUAAAUCACGAAAAUAAUCCUUAACAGUUCUAAACUUUUUGACAAAACAAGAUUAUUCUUAAGACACCUUUGUUUAUUAGUAAUAUGUUUAGUAUAAAGGAUGUUUAGUUCUUAGUAUUAUUUUAAUUUUUUUAAGUGUUUCUUUUUAUGCUUUAGUUGUCGAGAUUUGACCGCAAUAUGGUCGGCUUGGUGCCUGUGUACUCUGAUGUACUUGCCACCAUGCCACCCGAAAUCACACAUUCGCCACCUUUCGCACCAUGGUACUUGGAUUUGGGAGACUGUAACUGCGUUUGUGAUUAAAAAGUUUUUUGUUUUGGUUCGGCGAGCGAUAAAUGUCAUCUCCUUUGAGUUGAGACCAAGAACAAAGUACACGUCAUGCUGCUAAUAAGCAUGGAGAGCGAAGUUUUGCUUCCCUAAUUAACCACAUCAACCACAAUUGACUUUAAAAAUAUGUUUUCUAACUCUGAAUUUUCUCAAGUAGUUGUGCUUAUAACUAUGUUCUCGAUGAAAGACAAUUAUGAUCAUCUUAUAUUUUUAAUCUUAUAGCUCGAGCUGGCCAAUGUUUUCCCUUUGCAAAACAUGUUAGUUCACCGCCGCAAUGCGCGGGUGGAGACAAGAGCAAUCCUUGCAAUCAGCAUCACUGAAACAUGGGUCCAGGUGGAGACAAAAGCAAUCCUAAUUGCAACAAGUGUCUCUUCAGGACAAGAAUGAUGAAUGCCGAAAGUUUUUUAGUCGUUUGCAAGGAUCUUUGACAUUUUGGGAAGGCCGCUUCCCUAUUGAUGCAAAGAUCUUUCGUUUCAAAUUUUAUGUCUAACACUGUUAAAUAUUAUACAAUUUACUUUGAAUGUUAUUGUUUGAUCUUUAUAUGUUUUUUAUAUACAUAUGAAUAAAUUUAUCCUUUUUAACCAA